rnacentral:sRNA from 1 species
CACUUCUCUCCUGGUGAACAAGUGGAAGGAGGAUGGCUGGGAUGAUGCCGAAGCCGUUUUUUCAGGGCAGGAGGGGAAGAUAAACUGUGUGACGUUCCCUCACCCAGACACGAUGCCGGAACAGCAGCUGCUGAAACCAACCGAGUGGAGCUACUGCGACUACUUCUGGGCUGAUAAGAAGGACCCCCAAGGCAACGGCACUGUGGCUGGGUUUGAACUACUGCUCCAGAAACAGCUGAAGGGCAAACAAAUGCAGAAGGAAAUGUCAGAAUUCAUCCGGGAAAGGAUAAAGAUUGAAGAAGACUAUGCGAAGAACUUAGCUAAGCUCUCUCAGAACUCCUUGGCUUCACAGGAGGAAGGCUCCUUGGGAGAGGCGUGGGCCCAGGUGAAGAAGAGCCUGGCGGACGAAGCAGAAGUUCACCUCAAGUUCUCUGCCAAGCUUCACAGCGAGGUGGAGAAGCCCCUGAUGAACUUCCGUGAGAACUUCAAGAAAGACAUGAAGAAGUGCGACCACCACAUUGCCGACCUUCGCAAGCAG